CUGAGCUUUAGAACAGCUAGCUCACCUUCCAGAAAGAAAACUGAGCAAAAUGUGUCAUCUAUAAAGGCAAAAGAAACCCCAACUGAAGUUUAUGAGGGAUGUGGCAAAGGUUUUAGGUAUUUUCUCAACCCACUGAGGAUUCACAAGAUGAAGCUACAGCAAUAUUGAUGCUGGCAGUGCUCCCUUCCCUGAGCACAGUCACUCCAGCCUAGAGUUGUGGAAGCUGAUGCUUGAGCAAUACAAAUCCCUCAUGUGUGACCAAGGGAAGAAUUUUCACCUUCUAGAAACUGCACAAAGAAAAAGCUGUAAAGCAAAUGAAAAACAGUGGUCCAAUCUGAAGAUUCAAUUCUGAAGAAAAAGAGUUUUCCUCUGAAUGCUAGUUGGUAAAGAUGCCUCUGUCCUGAGUUUUCUUCCUGGAAAUGCCUGUACAGCUGGGAAAGGUCCCCUGUGGUGUGAAACACAUCUGUGCCCUGGAUCUGAUGCUCUUUGCAUUGUGGAAAAUUUCUGCAGCUUGGGGCUUUUGUCUAAAAUUUGUCACUUUCCAGGGGAGGAAGAAGCAAAUAUCUUUCUCCUGUAAAGAACCUGUCCUUUUUUUUGAAUGAGUUCAGUCCUGCACUGAAAACUUCAGAUUUGCUUUAGACUGGCAGUGCUGCAAGGAAUAGAAGCCACCCAAAAAAGAGACAGAGAGACUGUUCUGAUUUAAGUAAAAUACAUUGUCUGAAAAGUAAUUCUGUUAUAAAGUGCUCAAUGUGUUUUAUUGCAACUUUCAUUUGAUUAUUGUUUAAACCUCAGCAUGUAGGUUUAUAUAUAUUUUCUGUCCUGGU